rnacentral:rRNA from 1 species
UACGAAGGGGGCGAGCGUUUGUUCGGAAUCACUGGGCGUAAAGGGCGCGUAGGCGGCCCUUCUUGUCGCGUGUGAAAGCCCCGGGCUCAACCUGGGAACGGCGCGCGAGACGGGGGGGCUGGAGUUCGGGAGAGGAGCGUGGAAUUCCCAGUGUAGAGGUGAAAUUCGUAGAUAUUGGGAAGAACACCGGUGGCGAAGGCGGCGCUCUGGACCGGGACUGACGCUGAGGCGCGAAAGCGUGGGUAGCAAACAGG